rnacentral:rRNA from 1 species
UUUCCAUGAUCCUAUGCUGCCGAGAAAAGCCUCUAGCGAGCUGGUACAUGGCCCGUACCCCCAAACCGACACAGGUGGUCAGGUAGAGAAUACUAAGGCGAUCGAGAGAACUGUGGUUAAGGAACUCGGCAAAAUGCCCCCGUAACUUCGGGAGAAGGGGGACCAGUCCUGGUGACGACAUUUACUGUCUGAGCUGGGGUUGGUCGCAGAGACCAGAGAGAAGCGACUGUUUACUAAAAACACAGGUCCGUGCGAAGUCGUAAGACGAUGUAUACGGACUGACGCCUCCCCGGUGCUGGAAGGUUAAGAGGACCGGUCAGCCACUUCGGUGGCGAAGCUGAGAAUUUAAGCCCCAGUAAACGGCGGUGGUAACUAUAACCAUCCUAAGGUAGCGAAAUUCCUUGGCGGGUAAGUUCCGACCUGCACGAAUGGCGUAACGACUUCUCUGCUGUCUCAACCACAGACUCGGCGAAAUUGCAGUACGAGUAAAGAUGCUCGUUACGCGCGGCAGGACGAAAAGACCUCGGGACCUUCACUAUGGCUUGGUAUUGGUGUUCGGUUCGGUUUGUGUAGGAUAGGUGGGAGACUGUGAAACUCGCACGCCAGUGUGGGUGGAGUCAUUGUUGAAAUACCACUCUGACCGUAUUGGACAUCUAACCUCGGACCAUGAUCUGGUUCAGGGACAGUGCCUGGUGGGUAGUUUAACUGGGGCGGUUGCCUCCCAAAAAGUAACGGAGGCGCCCAAAGGUUCCCUCAGCCUGGUUGGCAAUCAGGUGUUGAGUGUAAGUGCACAAGGGAGCUUGACUAUGAGACGUACAUGUCGAGCAGGGACGAAAGUCGGGACUAGUGAUCCGGCACCGGCAAGUGGAAGCGGUGCCGCUCAACGGAUAAAAGGUACCCCGGGGAUAACAGGCUGAUCUUCCCCAAGAGUCCAUAUCGACGGGAUGGUUUGGCACCUCGAUGUCGGCUCGUCGCAUCCUGGGGCUGGAGUAGGUCCCAAGGGUUGGGCUGUUCGCCCAUUAAAGCGGCACGCGAGCUGGGUUUAGAACGUCGUGAGACAGUUCGGUCUCUAUCCGCCGCGCGCGUAAGAAACUUGAGGAAACCUGUCCCUAGUACGAGAGGACCGGGACGGACGAACCUCUGGUGUGCCAGUUGUUCCACCAGGAGCACCGCUGGUUAGCUACGUUCGGAAGGGAUAACCGCUGAAAGCAUCUAAGCGGGAAGCCUGUUCCAAGAUGAGGUUUCUCACCACCUAGCGUGGUUAAGGCCCCCCACAGACCAUGGGGUUGAUAGGCCAGAACUGUAAGCACAGCAAUGUGUUCAGGUGACUGGUACUAAUCGGCCGAGGACC